GGCAUGCGAGUCGCGCGAGAAUGUAGCAAUACAGGACAGCGGCGAAAGGGAGAGGACAACACGGGAAUCUGCCUUGGGGACGAGGAUAGCGUCGGGAAACUGACAGUAAUACUCGAUAAUGUUUGCGGACCAAAGGUGUGAUUCCGCCCCAAGAUGAGCCCGUGCCCCAUUAGCUAGUUGGCGGUGUAAUAGACCACCAAGGCUAUGAUGGGUAGCUGGUGUGAGAGCACGACCAGCCUCACUGGCACUGAGACACUGGCCAGACACCUACGGGUGGCUGCAGUCGAGAAUCUUUGGCAAUGGACGAAAGUCUGACCAAGCGACGCCGCGUGCGGGAUGAAGGCCUUCGGGUUGUAAACCGCUGUCGUAGGGAAUCAAAUGUAUUGGGGUUCUCCCCUUUACUUGAGAGAUCCUAGGAGGAAGGAGAGGCUAAGCUCGUGCCAGCAGCCGCGGUAAGACGAGCUCUCCAAACGUUAUUCGGUAUCACUGGGCUUAAAGAGUUCGUAGGCGGCUUUGUAGGUGGGGUGUGAAAGCCCUCGGCUCAACCGAGGAACUGCGCCCCAAACCACAGGGCUUGAGGGAGAUAGGGGUAAGCGGAACAGAUGGUGGAGCGGUGAAAUGCAUUGAUAUCAUCUGGAACACCGGUGGCGAAGGCGGCUUACUGGAUCUUUUCUGACGCUGAGGAACGAAAGCUGGGGUAGCGAACGGGAUUAGAUACCCCGGUAGUCCUAGCCGUAAACGAUGAGCACUAGUCUGAGGAUCUGUCACAGAUUCUCGGACGUAGCGAAAGUGUUAAGUGCUCCGCCUGGGGAGUAUGGUCGCAAGGCUGAAACUCAAAGGAAUUGACGGGGGCUCACACAAGCGGUGGAGGAUGUGGCUUAAUUCGAGGCUACGCGAAGAACCUUAUCCUAGUCUUGACAUGCUUAAGAACCUGACUGAAGGUUGGGGUGCCCGCAAGGGAGCUUUUGCACAGGUGCUGCAUGGCUGUCGUCAGCUCGUGUCGUGAGAUGUCGGGUAGUCCCUUACGAGCGAAACCCUUAUCUCUAGUGCCAGCGGGUCAUGCCGGGGACUCUAGA
rnacentral:rRNA from 1 species